GAUGAACGCUGGCGGCGUGCCUAAUACAUGCAAGUCGAACGAGGUGCUUGAGUAGCAAUACAAGAGUAUCCUAGUGGCGAACGGGUGAGUAACGCGUGGGUGACCUGCCCCGAAGUGUGGGAUAACAGUCCGAAAGGAUUGCUAAUACCUCAUGUGGUUAUCGGAUUUAGAAACUGAUAACUAAAGCAGCAAUGCGCUUUGGGAGGGACCUGCGUCCCAUCAGCUAGUUGGUGAGGUAAUGGCUCACCAAGGCUACGACGGGUAGGGGACCUGAGAGGGUGGCCCCCCACAAUGGAACUGAAACACGGUCCAUACACCUACGGGUGGCAGCAGUAGGGAAUAUUGCACAAUGGGCGAAAGCCUGAUGCAGCAACGCCGCGUGUGCGAUGAAGGCCUUGGGUCGUAAAGCACUUUUCUGAGAGAUGAGAAAGGACAGUAUCUCAGGAAUAAGUCUCGGCUAACUACGUGCCAGCAGCCGCGGUAAAGUAG
rnacentral:rRNA from 1 species